rnacentral:ncRNA from 1 species
CCACAAAAUAACAUGAGUCAAGGUCACUCAGUAAGAUAAUGGAAGGUAAGCUUCAUUGUUGAGAGAAAAAUAAUUCAAAUCAUUAGGUAAAAAUCCUGAAUGGUCCUUCAGUGAUAAAGAAAAUAGAGGUGAAGACAACUAAGAGAUUUGCCUAGAAGCAUCGAUCUUUAAAAAAAUGCGUAAUAGUUCUCUCAUCGAAUACUUUUGUGUCAAAGAUGAAUAAGGCUAAAUGAUCAAUCGAAGUUAUAGGAUGUAAAAAUAAAUUGGUAGGGG